CCUACGGGUGACAGCAGUCGAGAAUCAUUCACAAUGGGGGAAACCCUGAUGGUGCGACGCCGCGUGGGGGAAUGAAGGUCUUCGGAUUGUAAACCCCUGUAAUGUGGGAGCAAAUUAAAAAGAUAGGACCACAAGAGGAAGAGACGGCUAACUCUGUGCCAGCCGCCGCGGUAAAACAGAGGGGUCAAGAGUUGUUUGGAAUCAAGGGGCGGAAAGCGUGCGUGGGCUGUUUAGUAAGUCGUGUGUGAAAGGCGGGGGCUCAACCCACGGACGGCACAGGAAAUCGCGAGACUAGAGUAAUGGAGGGGGAACCGGAAUUCUCGGUGUAGCAGUGAAAUGCGUAGAUAUCGGGAGGAACACUCGUGGCGAAGGCGGGUUCCUGGACAUUAACUGACGCUGAGGCACGAAGGCCAGGGGAGCGAAAGGGAUUAGAUACCCUUGUAGUC
rnacentral:rRNA from 1 species